CGGAUGGUGUCUAGCAACGUUGGGUACCUCGUUUCUUGUGUGUGUGAGCGAGCGGUUGCUGUUUACGACUUGUUCAUAUAUCGCUUUGUAGUGCUGUAAUGUGCAAAUUAGCGGACUUUAUAGCGGCUCUCUAUUUUCCGUCGUUGUCUUUCGAGCAGCGCCUGUUGUUCCGGUAAAAAUCGAGUUGAAUGAAUCGCCACAGCCCCAACGUAUAUCGCGCAGUGUUGACCAAGACCAAGUCAAGCAGGAAUUCUGGCAUGGUAUGUGGCUGCACGAAGGAUUCCGAAAAAGAAAAACAACAACAUGGCUAAUAGGAUGUUGCUGCCCAGGGAGUCCUGGCGAAGAGGUUUACUCAUUCCAGAAGCAAGAAUUGUAUCAUUGUAAGGCGAAUGGAAAUAAACUGACAUCGACUGA